AUCAUCAUGUAAACCAAUAAUGAAAGAAAUGGAAGUCGACUAGCUGUUUACUUAAAUUUAAAAGUGAAUAUACAUCAAGAUUAAGCUCCUGUAAGGAAUCGAAUAGGACGUCGAAAAGGACGAAACAGAAAGCUGAGAAUUUGCAAGAAUUAUAGAUAGGAUGGCUGAAAAAGUCAACUAUUACAUGAUAACACACAAGGGCAUUUCCUUAUCAACCAUAUACUGACACAUCGCGUGAACCCUUACCAGACUACACUUGUUUAAAGGAAGAAAUGAGCAAAGGAUCCACCAUGGAUCGGCAUGAAUGGAUGUUCCCUUUCUCAGUGGUCUAAGGAAACAAGACUGAAAGCAGGCUUGCAGAAAUAACAGCAGAUCAAAAUCUGGUGUGGCAGGAUGACAAGUAAAGGUAAAAGCAAAGAAGUCAAGCACCGUCAUAAUCCGUCAAGUGCAGCACAACAAUGAAAAAUGCAGACUGUGUUCUUUAAAGCAAAAACACUGAUUUAUUUCUCGUCCAAUCUUCAGCGAAUUUGGUAUAGAUAUGUGUUCAACAAACCCUGUUGGCUUAAUAAGUGAAGAAGUUAUGUGUUUUAUGACAAUAAUAGUUUAGUCAAUAAGCGAAGCGAACAUUUGCAGCGCUGUUCUACAACAGUACAAAAAGACCAUGUCAGGACGUGUUACUGCCUGUAUCAGCACAAGAAGUGGCAUAAACAUUCUUGCUUCACUAUUAAUUUUGUUAAGUUUAUAACACACCUGAGCACAAAGUGCUCCGUGAAGGCUAUUGUGGUUUCGCUGUGUCCGUCAGCAAACAAUUGAAACGCUAAUACUAUAGUAAUCACAAUGUUAAUUUAAUUGUUCAUUAUGUUACCCUUAAGGUAGUUCUGCACAUUUGAAAAAACGGAAGUGGUGAUGUAAUGUCAUUUAUCCGGAAAACGUAGAAUAAAGCCUUGAUUCGGCGUACGGAAACGAAAAUCAUUUCAUAAACCAAUAGCAACCCGUGAGUAGAUUUAUUACAAUCGCACUGUCAAUUUCUUUCUAAAGUUAAAAUAUGAUAUUAAAACAUCUGAAAAGUUAAAUAAUUUAAAAACAUGUGUUUAUAUUGGCUUUAAAUGUGCGGUUCACCUAAAUCAUGGUCAUCACAAAAAUAAGCACACGGACUUAAAUAUUUUAUUUCAUCAAAUUAUAGACCAGACUAUAAGUUUAUUUAUGACUGUGAGAAGUUUCAUUAAAAUCUAUAUUGUUGAAAAAAACAUGAAAUUUGUGAUCUUCUCAUAGACUCCCUUUAUGAAACAUUGUGUGACUUCCAAAAAAUUCAAACCAGUCUAGCAAAAAGUCAAGCACACAACCCUAACAUUUUUAUUUGCUGAAUUUUCUAUUCGAAUUCUGAAGUUUUGAAAAAAUUGGGUUUAAUCGAAUUCUACAUUGUAAAAAUAUUCUACCCAAACGUGCAGAACUACCUUACUUAGCCAUCUGAGAUGAAACACUUGGUCACUAGACAUAUUAAUACUAAAACCUUGCUUUCAUUUUUAAAGCCCACAUUUUCAAACCCACCUUCACACAACUUUGUAAGAAUAAUUGUCUCAACCACUGCUUAAACGUAAUAAGCGACAUAUAGAGAAUAAAUACUCGGUUUGCUGUAGCAGAUGAAAAAGUUGAUUUCA
rnacentral:lncRNA from 1 species